rnacentral:rRNA from 1 species
UACAUGUGGGGCAAGCGUUGUUCGGAAUUACUGGGCAUAAAGGGUGCGUAGGCGGCUUGUUAAGUCAGGGGUGAAAGUUUUCGGCCCAACCGGAAAAUUGCCUUUGAUACUGGCGAGCUCGAGUGCGUGAGGGGUAACCGGAACGAGUCGUGUAGCGGUGAAAUGCGUUGAUAUCAGGAGGAACACCCAUGGCGAAGGCAGCAAACUGGUCAUCAACUGACGCUGAGGCGCGAAAGCGUGGGUAGCAAACAGG